GAUGAACGCUAGCGGCAGGCUUAACACAUGCAAGUCGAACGGUAGAGUAGCAAUACUUGAGAGUGGCGAACGGGUGAGUAAUAUAUCGGAACGUGCCCAGUCGUGGGGAUAACGUAGAGAAAUUUACGCUAAUACCGCAUACGAUCUAAGGAUGAAAGCGGGGGAUUCGCAAGAACCUCGCGCGAUUGGAGCGGCUGAUAUCAGAUUAGGUUGUUGGUGAGGUAAAAGCUCACCAAGCCGACGAUCUGUAGCUGGUUUGAGAGAACGACCAGCCACACUGGGACUGAGACACGGCCCAGACUCCUACGGGAGGCAGCAGUGAGGAAUAUUGGACAAUGGGCGCAAGCCUGAUCCAGCCAUGCCGCGUGCAGGAUGACGGGUCCUAUGGAUUGUAAACCGCUUUAUACUAGGAAGUAAACACUAC
rnacentral:rRNA from 1 species